rnacentral:rRNA from 1 species
GACGAACGCUGGCGGCGUGCCUAACACAUGCAAGUCGAGCGGGGAUUUAAGUGCAUGUUCUUCGGUCUGGGUAUCUAACUUCUAGCUGCGGUCUGGUUAGUAACGCGUGUACUAUCUGUCCAGGACAGGAGGCUAACACUUGUACCCUAUAGCUCAUACCGCUUAAAAUAACGACCUCGAAUGUGGCUGAGAUUAAAUAAGCAAUCCGGUUCGGGGUGAGUUCGCGUCUGAUUAGCUUGCUGGUGCGGUAACGCCUCACUAAUGCGACGAUCGGUAGACGGCCUGAGAGAGUAAACUGAGACAUUGGAACAGAGAGACGCGGCAAACACUUACAGGGGGCAGAGGUGGAGAAAAUAGUGCAAUGGGGGAGAGCCUGACCCAGCAACGCCGCGUGAGGGAAGUAGGUUUUCGGAGUGUAAACCUCUGUCCUAUGGGACAAAGGAAGUGACGGUACCAUAGGAGGAAGCACCGGCUAACUACGUG